rnacentral:rRNA from 1 species
UUAAUAUAAUAUAUUAAAUGGCCGCGGUAUUUUGACCGUGCAAAGGUAGCAUAAUCGUUAGUUUUUUAAUUGGAAUCUUGUAUGAAUGGUUGGACAAAAGAAAAUCUGUCUCUAUAUUGGUUAUCGAAUUUAACUUUUAAGUGAAAAGGCUUAAAUAAAUUAAAGGGACGAUAAGACCCUAUAAAGCUUAAUAUUAAAAUUUUAUUUAGUUAAAUUUUAUACUAUAAAAACUUCGUAAUUAAAUUUAUUUUAUUGGGGCGAUAAAAGUAAAAUUAUUAUUACCUGCUUAAUUUUUAAUACAUAAAUUGAUGAUUAAAUUUUUAAAUGAUCCUAAAUAAAGAUUAAAAGUUUAAGUUACUUUAGGGAUAACAGCGUUAUUUUUCUUGAGAGUACUUAUCGAAAGAAAAGUUUGCGACCUCGAUGUUGAAUUAAAAUAUCUUUAUAAUUGUAGCAGUUAUAAUAGUAGGUCUGUUCGACCUUUAAAAUUUUA